CAGGCUUCACGAAUCCCGCUGAGCCUGGUGCCUGGGUGCUGCGUCCUGGGGAGACGAGGAAUGUGAGCCCCAUGAAGACAUGAAUGGAGGCCACCCACUGGUCUUCAGAGGAUACCUGGAGCUGCUGGAUCAGGUUGCAGCUGUGAGGACCAAGUCAAGACUGAGGCUGAGAUGCUGAGGAAGACAGAGCAGGGUACAGCCAGGUCCUAAAGGACCUGAUCGAGCCAGCGUGUCAACUGACCUUGGACCACCCUCUCCAAGGACGUUUUGCUUAUGAGAGGACAUUUUCUUUAUUGUAUAGUGCCUCCCCCUGGCCCAAUCCAGAGGAAAAGCACAAUGGAGACCCCUUGAUAUGGUCCAUUGGGGUCAGCCUCCAGAGACUCAGAGCAGGGUGGAGCAGGCGGGAGAGAGGCUCUGGAAGAGCAGCUGGAAGCCACCCAGAACACAUACAACUGCGGGCAAAACACAAGUGAAUGGUAACCUUUGAACAGACCUGGAAGGAUAAGGUCCACACAUGUGUAUGAGCUGAAUGUGGCAAGAGUUCGUGCUUUGUGAAGUUAGAGAACGACAACAUUCAUCUGGCAAAAGUGGCCAGAAGAAGUGGAAAUUCUAGUGAUGUUUAAGUAAUGGGACAAAGACGGCUGGAGGCCCUGGGGGUGAA